UGGGGCUAUAGCUCAGUGGUAGAGCGCUUGCCUAGCAAGCAUGAGGCCCUGAGUUCAAUCCUCAGCACCACAU